rnacentral:rRNA from 1 species
ACGCUGGCGGCAGGCCUAACACAUGCAAGUCGAGCGGUAGAGAGGCGCUUGCUUCUCUUGAGAGCGGCGGACGGGUGAGUAAUGCCUAGGAAUCUGCCUGGUAGUGGGGGAUAACGUUCGGAAACGGACGCUAAUACCGCAUACGUCCUACGGGAGAAAGCAGGGGACCUUCGGGCCUUGCGCUAUCAGAUGAGCCUAGGUCGGAUUAGCUAGUUGGUGGGGUAAUGGCUCACCAAGGCGACGAUCCGUAACUGGUCUGAGAGGAUGAUCAGUCACACUGGAACUGAGACACGGUCCAGACUCCUACGGGAGGCAGCAGUGGGGAAUAUUGGACAAUGGGCGAAAGCCUGAUCCAGCCAUGCCGCGUGUGUGAAGAAGGUCUUCGGAUUGUAAAGCACUUUAAGUUGGGAGGAAGGGUUGUAGAUUAAUACUCUGCAAUUUUGACGUUACCGACAGAAUAAGCACCGGCUAACUCUGUGCCAGCAGCCGCGGUAAUACAGAGGGUGCAAGCGUUAAUCGGAAUUACUGGGCGUAAAGCGCGCGUAGGUGGUUAGUUAAGUUGGAUGUGAAAUCUCCGGGCUCAACCUGGGAACUGCAUUCAAAACUGACUGACUAGAGUAUGGUAGAGGGUGGUGGAAUUUCCUGUGUAGCGGUGAAAUGCGUAGAUAUAGGAAGGAACACCAGUGGCGAAGGCGACCACCUGGACUGAUACUGACACUGAGGUGCGAAAGCGUGGGGAGCAAAC